rnacentral:lncRNA from 1 species
CUAUGUGCUGAGAACUCAUGUGUGACAUAGGCUGGAUAGAGUUCUGUGAAAGUGGCUAUGCCUACACAGAACUUCAGAAUGUGACCUCAUUUGGAAAUGGAGCCUUUGAGAUGUAAUCAAUGGAGAUGAGGAUAUCCUAUAGAAACAUGGGGGUUACAGAACAAGAAGAUGGAAGCAUGCAGAAAGAGGCACAAGUUGGAAUGUUGCUGCAGGUCUGAAUCACAAGAAUGGUCAGGAAAUGCCAACGGGUCCUUGUGUAAACAGGGGUGAAAUCCGGUCCAGAUCUUGCCAAGAGAAUACGGCCAGGCUGCUGCUCUGAACUGUAUAGCCUCUGAGACUGAGAGAAUACGGCCUUCUGUUCUGAGUUGCCUAGCCCAUCCCCUAUCUCGUGGCAGCCAUAGGACACUGAGUAACUGCCGUCCUCCUUGGUCACCAGCUCCCGGUUGUUCGCAUGACCUGUCCUGUAGUGUAGGCAGUAAGUGAGUCUGAGGAAGGGUGUGUUCCAGCUCUACCCAGGAACAGCAGGGAUCUGUAGGACUUUGGUCUGGGAAAGACUCUUGGGAACUUUAUAUGGAUGCAGCUUGGGAAGGCAGAGAGCAAGGUGAUGCAGGGUAUUCAAUGCCAGCGUGAGCAUGGGGGCUGCAGGGCAGGCAGGCACUCAUCCUGGCUGAGCUUUCUGGCUGCUCCCAGGGUCAGAUGGAAAGAAGGCCAGCUUGUGCUUCCUCCCUCCUUUUCC